GUGCUCGCUUUGCCCAGCACAUAUACUAAAAUUGGAAGGAUACAGAGAUUAGUAUGUCCCCUACGCAAGGAUGACACGCAAAUUCGCAAAGCAUUCCAUAUUUAA